UUAUUAGUAUAAGGAGUAUAUUUGUUUUCCAAACAAAAGGUUUAGUAAAUCUAAAUAGGAUAAAA
rnacentral:tRNA from 1 species